GUGACGUCAUAAGGCUGCGCCGCGCUCCGUCGGCUGAAGACAGGAUAAAGUGUCCAAACACAAACUCCUGCUGAGAUCCACGUGACACAUUAUUAUAAAGAUGGCGUUUAUUAAAGAAGAGAGUGAAGAUGUGACGAUUGAAGAAACAUUCAAAGUCAAACAUGAAGAUACUGAGGAACAAACAGACCCGAUGGCGCUGAAAAAGGAGAGUCAAGAAAUCAAUGAAGUGGAAGAGAAAAAUCAGUAUGAGAUGCACGUUGAUUUAUUGACUGGUGAAAAACCCAGACAGACCAAAAAGAUUUUGUCACAAAAAGGAGCUCAGAAGACCAAAUCUAACAGUUCUAAUCAAGCAAGAACCAGACGGACAAAAAAUAUUUUAUCACGAAAAGGAGCGCGAAAGACUAAAUCUAACAGUUCUAAUCAAGCAAGAACCAGACAGACCAAAAAGAUUUCAUCACGAAAAGGAGCUCAGAAGACCAAAUCUAACAGUUCUAAUCAAACACGAAAACAAAACCUUGAAAUCCACAGGAAUCCACAAUGCCUUAAAACGCAUGUAAUAACUCACUCUGGGAGAAACCUUUCAUGUGCCACCAGUGUGGAAAGACUUUCCGAUUCAAUAAAUACCUUGCGAUUCACAUGAGAGUUCACACCGGAGAGAGGCCUUACACCUGCAAACACUGUGGGAAGAGCUUCUCACUAAAAGGAAAUCUGAACACUCACUUGAAAGUUCACACUGGAGAGAAGCCUUUUACAUGUGAUCAGUGUGGAAAGAGUUUCAGAACUAAAGGAAACCUUCAGACUCACAUUAGUCUUCACUCUGGAGGGAGCCCUCACAACUGCAAACUGUGCAGGAAGAGCUUCUCAUUAAAAGGAAGUCUUAAAACUCACAUGAGAAUUCACACAGGAGAGAGGCCCUUCAUAUGUGUUCAAUGUGGAAAGAGUUUCAGAUGUAAAGAAGCACUUAAUUACCACACAAAUAUUCACUCAAGAGAGGACAGAUUUAUAUGUCAGCAGUGUGGAAGGAGUUUUACAGACAGAAAUCACCUUAAAAAUCAUGUAACAACUCACACUGGAAAGAAGCCUAACAUGUGCCAUCACUGUGGAAAGUGUUUCACAAAGCAAACCUUGCUUCAGAAUCACAUAAGAGUUCACACUGGAGAGAAGCCUUUCACCUGCCUUAAGUGUGGAAAGAGUUUCAGGGUUAAAGGAAAUCUUCAGACUCACAUGAGAAUUCACUCUGGAGAGAAGCCUUUCACCUGCACUCACUGUGGAAUGUGUUUCAGAUUUAAAGGAAACUUUAACAGUCACAUGAGGUUUCAUGUGUCUUCAGUAUGAGAAGAGUUAUACAAAUCAAAGAGACCUCAAACAUUUAUAAAAUCAUCAGGGAAAUAAACUGCAGUUUUAGGAUUGUGUCAAAAGGUUUUUGAAAUAAAUCAAUAUCAAAAACAUCCUGCUCAUUCACUUUGGAAAUUUAUAUAAAUAUAUAUAAAUAUUUAAUUAGGAUAAUUUAUUUUGCCUUCACAUGUAGCAAUUGUAGCAUUUGGACCAAUCAAACACACAACUAUUUGUUAUAUUUAACAAAUAAUAUCUAACGCCUCCUCAUUUAACCAAAGGGUCUAUGGACCCUUCCCCCAAAAGGCAGAAAAAAAGCAUGAAAGUAUUGUUCUUAGAAUUGACAGACAGUUGACACUGAGAGGUCAAGUAAAUACUUACAGCAGAUCUAAAUAUUUGUAAUUAAUUAUUACUAGUUAUGAUUGAUUAUUCAUAUUUCCCCCUUGAGCUGAUUCGCUUCAAGAUGCAUCUGCAAAAGUCAUGUGUUUGUGAGACCCUAUUUGUUUUCUUAUGUGUGGAAAGCAUUUAAAAUGGCACCAGAAAAUGUCUAUCUGUGGUAAAUUAAUUUCAAUUGUAUAGGGGUCAACGUGACGCCUAAAUUGUCUGUCCGAUUGAAUUUUUUCACUUAAAAAUGGGUUUAAAUGCGUAAAAAGAUACUAUAUAUAAGAAGUACCUCUCCCAUGUAUGUACUCACUUUAACUUUACGAAAAAAAUCCCAUUAGUUUUUUGUAAUUUGUGUAUUAUUUAAAGUGUCAAAAUAUCAUGUGUUGUGACCUUCCGACCAUAACUGCUGUUUUGGAAACCUCUUUGAAAUUAUUCUAAAUGUUUUAACAUUUAUUUUAUUCAUUAUUUGGCGAGAUUUAUGUAAUCCUGUACAAAAUUGCAAAUCAUUUGUUUUUAUAUUUCCAUCAUAAUAUACAAACAAACUUUGUUUGUUGAUGUCCAUUUUAUGAAAUAUUGAGGUGUGACCAUCAAGAAACUACCACUUUGGGGAUUUUAUGUUGAAAUCCAUUCAAAGACAGGAUGUUGCAUCAUAUACCAAUUUGCCAUGGAACCGGGGAAGCAGCAAGAAAGUUUGUAACUCUCAAAUUAAAAAAGAAAAAACUUUUUAAUGGUUGGUAUGUAGUCACCACAUUUAGAUAUCAUGUGGUAUGACCUCAAAAAAACAAUGAAUAUUAAAGGGUUAGUUCACCCAAAAAUGAAAAUUAGCCCAUAAAUUACUCACCCUCAAGGCAUCCUAGGUGUUACGAUAAGGGGUUUUAUCUUGGUUCUCUCCGGACUCCAUUUACCAUAAACCCCUACCUAGUUGCACACAUCCACACACACAUUACUGAUUAUUGUUUAGCCUGUACCCUGUUCCUAGUCUCUGUGUUUCCCUGCUUUGCCUUGCCUUCUUGUUUUUUGACCUUGGACUGGUUAUCGGAUUACUCUUUUGUCUCGCCCUGGACUGUACCCGUUUACUGGUGUUUGACCCUGCCUGUUUUGACCAUCCUUGUAAAUAAAAGCUGCAUUUGGAUUCUCAA